GAAAUAGAACAAGCUCGUAUAAUUUUGGGGAUAUGGCCCAUAAGUCUCUACCGGAUGACCGUAAAUCAUCUGACUACGAGUGGAAGU
rnacentral:ncRNA from 1 species